CGACAGGACGGCAGACCUGUGUUGUUGGCGGCGGCGGCCGGAGCGGGGUGAAUCCCCUAACAACGAGCAGAACCUCUGACAACGAGCAGGACAGGCGUGACGAGACUGCUUUGGCCAGGGAAUCCCUUGACAGCGAGAAGGACACACAUAGCAGAGCCUCAAAAAUGGGAGCAGGUUCAGUGAGACCUUCUACCCGGCCCCCAGCGGAGGAGCUGAAUGAGCCUCAUUCAUCACUGAGCGAGCGAAGGCGUUAGCAGAGAGGCAACGGGAAUAAGCUCACACAAACCGAAUGCUCUGGCCUACAGCACAUAGAACUAUUAACAUGUACAGGAUCUAUGCAUUUCAUGAGAGACCGAACGGCGGCAGACAGUGAAAAGCCAGAUUCACUGCUGGAUGAAAAUAAACAUGGACGCUCUCUGAGAAUGAUUCUUGGUACCAGAC